CUAAGGAAGGCAGCAGGCGCGCAAAUUACCCAUUCUCAGAACGAGGAGGUAGUGACGAAAAAUACCAAGGUGAGGCUCAUUGAGUUUCGCCAUUGGAAUGAGAACAAUCUAAAUCCUUUAACGAGGAUCUAGUGGAGGGCAAGUCUGGUGCCAGCAGCCGCGGUAAUUCCAGCUCCGCAAGUGUAUUCCUAUACUGUUGCGGUUAAAAGCUCGUAGUUGGAUCUGAGUGUUUAGCGCUUGGUGCAGUUCUGCUGUUACUGAGUGCGGCACAUAAUCGCCAAUUGGUUGCCAUCGUUGCCUUAACCGGUGAUGGUGGUUGACUGUUGGCAUGUUUACUUUGAACAAAUCAGAGUGCUCAAUACGGGCGUUUCGCUUGUAUGGUCGUGCAUGGAAUAAUAGAAUAGGACCUUGGUUCUAUUUUGUUGGUUUUCGGAAUCGAGGUAAUGAUUAAGAGGGACAGACGGGGGCAUUCGUACUGCAACGUGAGAGGUGAAAUUCUUGGAUCGUUGCAAGACGAACUACUGCGAAAGCAUUUUGCCAAGAAAUGUUUUCAUUAAAUCAAGAACGAAAGUAAUGGGGUUCGAAGGCGAUCAGAUACCGCCCGUAGUCAUUACCGUAAACGAUUGUAACUGGGAGCUAGCAGGAGUCCUUUGUGACUCUGCUAGAACCCACCCGGAAACGAUAAGUUUUCGAUAUCCGGGGGAAGUAUACUUGCAAAUGCGAAACUUAAAGGAAUUGACGGAAGGGCACACCAGGGGUGGAGCCUGCGGCUUAAUUUGACUCAACACGGGGGAACUCAUCCGGUCCGGACACCGUGAGGAUUUGACAGAUUGAGAGCUCUUUCUUGAUUUGGUGGGCAGUGGUGCAU
rnacentral:rRNA from 1 species